GAACAGGCCGACGAACGGGCUCGCCGAGCCGACGGUCGCCAGCACCAGCAACCUGCGGUCCAGCCGCUCGACCUCGCGGGCAAUCGACACGCUCAUCACCUUGUCGAUCCGCAUCUGGAGACCGGCAAAGGAGCGCGAAUUGCUCUCGAACGAGCGCUUCCACUCGCGCAUCGCGGCCACGAACAAGGCGGCCAUCGAUUGCGUCGGCUUGGCGGCCAGCGCGCGGUACAAUUCGUCGAUGGA
rnacentral:misc_RNA from 1 species